UACGUAGGGGGCAAGCGUUGUUCGGAAUUACUGGGCGUAAAGCGCGCGUAGGCGGUUUGAAAAGUCAGAUGUGAAAGCCCCGGGCUCAACUUGGGAACUGCAUUUGAUACUGUCAGACUAGAGUACAGAAGAGGUGACUGGAAUUCCCAGUGUAGCGGUGAAAUGCGUAGAUAUUGGGAGGAACACCAGAUGCGAAGGCGGGUCACUGGGCUGAUACUGACGCUGAAGUGCGAAAGCCAGGGGAGCGAACAGG
rnacentral:rRNA from 1 species